CUCGAUCACCACGUCGAACUCCGUCUUCUCCUCAACCACCGCCGGCGCGUCCGCCACAGCGCCGCCGGCACCCGCGGCGACUGCCACAGGGGCGAACGCCGCCGCGGAGACGCCGAGCUUGUCCUGGAGGAAGUCGACGAGGUUCUUGGCCUCCUCGAGCGUGAGUCCGGCGAUUUCGUCGCCGAGCUUGGUGAUUUUCUCCGGCGCCUCAACGGCGGAGACGACGACACGGGGGCGGCGCGUGGUGGCGGCGCGGUGGGAGAGAUUGGGGAAUUGGAGGGAGGAGGGUUUGGCGGAGAGGUGCGUAGGGUAAGAAGAGGAGGGUGUAGGAUAAGAUAGCGUGCGGAGGGUGAGGGUUGUUAGAGUUGUUGAGGCCAUUUUGUGAAGAAAGGUUUUUGC
rnacentral:lncRNA from 1 species